rnacentral:rRNA from 1 species
AGAGUUUGAUCAUGGCUCAGGAUGAACGCUAGCGGCAGGCCUAACACAUGCAAGUCGAGGGGCAGCGGGGUAGCAAUACCGCCGGCGACCGGCGCACGGGUGAGUAACGCGUAUGCAAUCUACCUCUAACUGGGACAUAGCCCGUCGAAAGGCGGAUUAAUUUCCCAUAACACUAUGUAUUGGCAUCAAUAUAUAGUUAAAGCUCCGGCGGUUAGAGAUGAGCAUGCGUGUCAUUAGCUAGUUGGUAAGGUAACGGCUUACCAAGGCUACGAUGACUAGGGGUUCUGAGAGGAUGAUCCCCCACACUGGUACUGAGACACGGACCAGACUCCUACGGGAGGCAGCAGUGAGGAAUAUUGGUCAAUGGGCGCAAGCCUGAACCAGCCAUGCCGCGUGAAGGAUGAAGGCCCUAUGGGUUGUAAACUUCUUUUUUACGGGACGAAACUGCUCUACGUGUAGAGUACUGACGGUACCGUAUGAAUAAGCAACGGCUAACUCCGUGCCAGCAGCCGCGGUAAUACGGAGGUUGCAAGCGUUAUCCGGAUUUAUUGGGUUUAAAGGGUGCGUAGGCGGGAUAAUAAGUCAGUGGUGAAAUCCUGUCGCUUAACGAUAGAACUGCCAUUGAUACUGUUAUUCUUGAGUAUAGUUGAGGUGGGCGGAAUGUGUAAUGUAGCGGUGAAAUGCUUAGAUAUUACACAGAACACCGAUUGCGUAGGCAGCUCACUAAACUACAACUGACGCUGAGGCACGAAAGCGUGGGGAGCAAACAGGAUUAGAUACCCUGGUAGUCCAAGGGCGAAUUCGUUAGCUGCG